rfam:Brachypodium distachyon strain Bd21 chromosome 4, whole genome shotgun sequence.
GAAGUACUCCCUCCGUUCCAUAAUUCUUGUCUCAAAUUUGCCCAAAAAUGAAUGUAUCUAUUCCUAAAAAUGUCUAGAUACAUGUAAUAUUUCGACAAGAAUUAUGGAACGGAGGGAGUAGCUG